GACGAACGCUGGCGGCGUGCCUAACACAUGCAAGUCGAGCGGGGGGAGUUCUUCGGAACAAACCUAGCGGCGGACGGGUGAGUAACACGUGGGUAACCUGCCUCAAAGUGGGGGAUAGCCUUCCGAAAGGAAGAUUAAUACCGCAUAUGGUUUUCGGAUUAAAGGAUUUAUCCGCUUUGGGAAUGGCCUGCGUAUGAUUAGAUAGUUUGUGAGGUAAUGGCCCACCAAGUCGACGAUCAUUAACUGGUCUGAGAGGAUGAUCAGUCAGACUGGAACUGAGACACGGUCCAGACUCCUACGGGAGGCAGCAGUGAGGAAUCUUCCACAAUGGGCGAAAGCCUGAUGGAGCAACGCCGCGUGCAGGAUGAAGGCCUUCGGGUCGUAAACUGCUUUUAUAAGUGAAGAAUAUGACGGUAACUUAUGAAUAAGCACCGGCUAACUACGUGCCAGCCGCCGCAGUAAUAC
rnacentral:rRNA from 1 species